AUUGAACGCUGGCGGCAGGCCUAACACAUGCAAGUCGAAGGAGUGGCGGACGGGUGAGUAAUGACUGGGAACCUGCCUGAUGGAGGGGGAUAACUACUGGAAACGGUAGAUAAUACCGCAUACCAUCGGAUGAGCCCAGAUGGGAUUAGCUAGUAGGUGGGGUAAAGUCUCACCUAGGCGACGAUCCCUAGCUGGUCUGAGAGGAUGAACAGCCCCACUGGACUGGAGACACGGUCCAGACUCCUAGGGUAGGCAGCAGUGGUGAAUAUUGCACAAUGGGCGCAAGCCUGAUGCAGCCAUGCCACGUGUAUUAAGAAGGCCUUCGGGUUGUAAAGGUCUUUCAGCGGGGUGUCGUUACCCGCAGAAGAAGCACCGGCUAACUCCGUGCCAGCCGCCGCGGUAAUAC
rnacentral:rRNA from 1 species